CCAAAGCAGGUCAUAUGGGAUGGUCACACCGGAAGCAUUGGCCGUACAGCAAAUCAAGCUAUGUCUCAAAAUGUUGGGGAGGAUCAAAGUGAAGCUGGUUAUGAUGAUGCAAGGAGCCUUCCUGGUCCUGCAGCUCCUCCUCCUCGACCUGGUGUGCCUUCAGUUCGUCCCCUACCUCCACCACCUGGACUAGCACUGAAUCUGCCUCGCAUGCCUCCAAAU
rnacentral:misc_RNA from 1 species